rnacentral:rRNA from 1 species
UACGGAGGGUGCGAGCGUUGUCCGGAAUCAUUGGGCGUAAAGGGCGCGUAGGUGGCCCGGUCAGUCUUCGGUGAAAGCGCGGGGCUCAACCCUGCGUCGGCCAGGGAUACUGCCGCGGCUCGAGCACUGUAGAGGCAGGCGGAAUUCCGGGUGUAGCGGUGGAAUGCGUAGAGAUCCGGAAGAACACCGGUGGCGAAGGCGGCCUGCUGGGCAGUUUAGCUGACACUGAGGCGCGACAGCGUGGGGAGCAAACAGG